rnacentral:rRNA from 1 species
GUCUACGGCCAUACCACCCUGAACACGCCCGAUCUCCUCUGAUUUCGGAAGCUAAGCAGGGUCGGGCCAGUUUAGUACUUGGAUGGGAGAAAGUGACUUUCCCAGAUCACAGGGAUAACCUGUUUCCAAAGUGC